rnacentral:rRNA from 1 species
CUACGUGCCAGCAGCCGCGGUAAUACGGAGGGUGCGAGCGUUAAUCGGAAUAACUGGGCGUAAAGGGCACGCAGGCGGUGACUUAAGUGAGGUGUGAAAGCCCCGGGCUUAACCUGGGAAUUGCAUUUCAUACUGGGUCGCUAGAGUACUUUAGGGAGGGGUAGAAUUCCACGUGUAGCGGUGAAAUGCGUAGAGAUGUGGAGGAAUACUGAAGGCGAAGGCAGCCCCUUGGGAAUGUACUGACGCUCAUGUGCGAAAGCAUGGGGAGCAAACAGGAUUAGAUACCCUGGUAGUCCAUGCCGUAAACGUUGGGCACUAGGUGUGGGGGACAUUCCACGUUUUCCGCGCCGUAGCUAACGCAUUAAGUGCCCCGCCUGGGGAGUACGGCCGCAAGGCUAAAACUCAAAGAAAUUGACGGGGGCCCGCACAAGCGGCGGAGCAUGCGGAUUAAUUCGACGCAACGCGAAGAACCUUACCAGGUCUU